GUUUUGGACACUGCUGCAUUCUACUACAUUUUGAGUGGCAGACUCUCCAAACAUCUGCAUUCUUCUUCCAUGGCUCUUCAAGCAGGAUACCAAUGUUAUUCUGUUCAAGAUGACCUGGGUUUGGUUUGUUGGGACGAACUGUUGCUUUUCUCAAAAAAUCAAAUAAGUUGCAAUGCUGCCCUUGUGAUUUGCUAUUGAAUGACAUGUGUAAUUGUUGGGGAAGUUGAACCAGUCCACCAAAGAAAGUAAAGUUGAAUGGAAAUGCUCGUGUUAUCUACAAGACCAUCAGAGAUUAAAAAAAUAAUUUAAAAAUAGUGGAUCAUAGGUUAAAGU
rnacentral:lncRNA from 1 species